CCUACGGGAGGCAGCAGUGAGGAAUAUUGGUCAAUGGGCGGAAGCCUGAACCAGCCAAGUAGCGUGCAGGAUGACGGCCCUACGGGUUGUAAACUGCUUUUAUACGGGAAUAACGCGCCUUACGUGUAGGGCUUUGCAUGUACCGUAUGAAUAAGGACCGGCUAAUUCCGUGCCAGCAGCCGCGGUAAUACGGAAGGUCCGGGCGUUAUCCGGAUUUAUUGGGUUUAAAGGGAGCGUAGGCCGCAUGUCAAGCGUGCUGUGAAAUGUCCGGGCGCAACCCGGGCCUUGCAGCGCGAACUGGCGUGAGUGAGUCCGCGGAAAGCAGGAGGAAUUCGUCGGGUAGCGGUGAAAUGCUUAGAUAUGACGAAGAACCCCGAGUGAGAAGGCAGCUUGCUGCAGCGGAACUGACGCUGAUGCUCGAAAGCGCGGGUAUCGAACAGGAGUAGAUACCCGAGUAGUC
rnacentral:rRNA from 1 species